CUCUGUUCUGAAAUGGAAAGAGAAAACACUUUGCAGGGCAGGAACCCCAGAGACAAUGUGGCCCUGCUGGCACCUUUAGUGGGAAGGAUGGGGCACAGGGAGCAUCUCCCCCACACUCCCUCACUUGGGUGCCCUGCUCAGCUGACACCUCCUCCCACAGCUGCUCUGGCUGGUCCCACAGCAGGGACCUGCAUCCCACCCAAGGGCUGAAGGUUCAGCCCCGCUCUGGCCUCAACAGCUGCAGCCCUGCCCUGCCAGGAAGGGGUUUCUCAAGCACCAUGAGCUGCCACAAAGCCCCAGCCCAGGCAGGGCUCCUCCUGUGGCACAUUUAGUCUGAACGCUUGAACAAAACCCUGUGGCUGCCGGAUGCGAAGGCAGGGACCCGUGGAGGAGCCCAACGGGAACCGAAAGUCCCAGCAGGUUGAGAGCUGCCACGCUCUCAUCCCUUCACCUGAAUCACAAACCCCGUUCCCAGGGAAGAGGCUGUUUCCUAGAGCAGCCAGCAGGGAUGACGCUGUCUCUGUCUGAGCUGCGCUGAGGAUCAGCGCCUCGCAGGAGGGAAUUCGGGCUCCUCUUGGGAAGAGCAACUGAGAUCUCUUACAGGAAAGCCAAACCCCUCCCAGCAGCCGCUAGGUAGAACUCGAAAGUGAAACCUCGAGUGCUGGAGGAAACGAAACACUCAUGGUUGGCAGCAGUGAGCGGAAAAUGCCGCUGGGAGCUGGCACAGGCUCUCCCUCCCCUCCUGCCAGCAGUUCUGCUGCCUGUAGGCCAGUCCAGCCUGGGAUCCACUGGACCUGCUGAAGCCAAAGAUCAUGGGAGUGAUGCUCAGGAGUGAAUUUUGCCUUUGAUGCAAAAAUUGAGAGGUUUUACAUAAAACAUAAAUGCUCUGCCUGGGCCAGAAAAAUGUUUUUCCAGUUUGCGGAGUGAUGCUGUUUUAAAAAAAACACUUUUCACGUGUUGAA